rnacentral:rRNA from 1 species
AGUCGAGAAUCUUUCACAAUGGGGGAAACCCUGAUGGAGCGACGCCGCGUGGAGGAUGACGGUCUUCGGAUUGUAAACUCCUGUCAUGAAAGAACAAGCGAUGCGGGUGAACAGCCUGCAAAGUUGAUAGUAUUUCAAGAGGAAGGGACGGCUAACUUCGUGCCAGCAGCCGCGGUAAUACGAAGGUCCCAAGCGUUGUUCGGAAUCACUGGGCGUAAAGAGUGCGUAGGCGGCGCGGAAAGUCAGAUGUGAAAUCCCGGGGCUCAACCUCGGAACGGCAUCCGAUACUCCCGCGCUCGAGGACUGGAGGGGAGUCUGGAAUUCACGGUGUAGCAGUGAAAUGCGUAGAUAUCGUGAGGAACACUAGUGGCGAAGGCGAGACUCUGGACAGUUCCUGACGCUGAGGCACGAAGGCCAGGGGAGCGAA